AUGUGAGGAUUUUCUUUUUUAACAGUUCAUUCCGUGAAACCGUUUUUUUUCCUUGUUUGCUGUUAGAAAAUAUUGGAGCUAAACAUAGGGCUUUCAUUGCAAAUUGCUAUCAAGGGACUAAGAAAGGAUGUCGGCAUAUUGUUAAUGUCUCUCUUCAAGCUGUGUUUGAGCUUACCUUUCAGGUCACAUCUACUGGAGAAAGCCUGCUCACAAGCCUCCAUUAGCUAGUUGCCCUCUGGUGAGAGAAA